UCCAGUAAAAGCACUCGCUAGAGUGCAGGAUGCGCUCUAUAGCCUGGACGUCGCCGGUUCGAGUCCAGGCUAUUCCACAGCCGACCGUGGACGGGAGCUCUGAGGGGGCGGCGCUCAAUUGGCCGAGCGUCGUCCGGGGGGAGGGAGGGUUAGGUCGGCCAGGGUGUCCUCGGCUCACCGCGUACCAGCGACCCCUGUAGUCUGGCCCGGCGCCUGCGGGCUUGCCUGCAAGCUGCCCAGAGCUGCGUUGUCCUCCGACGCUGUAGCUCUGAGGCGGCUGCACAGUGAGUCUGCAGAGUGUAAAGAAGCGGGUGGCUGACGGCACACGCUUCGGAGGACAGCGUGUGUUCAUCUUCGCCCCUCCCGAGUCAGCGCAGGGGUGGUAGCGGUGAGCUGAGCCUAAAAAUAAUUGGGCAUUUCAAAUUGGGGAGAAAAUAAUAAAAACUGAUUGGCAACGACUAAAUAAAAAAAAAAAAAAAGAUAAAUAUAUAAAGGGAUCCCUGUACAAAAAGAAAGACACAUUUUAUUACAUCAAACAUAUUAAAGCAAAAAUAAAUGUCAUGUAUUUUUGUACACAUUUCAAACUGGCAGAUCACUUGCAUUUUAAGCUGCCGACAUUACUGCAUAGACACAGAAAUGUUUACUUGCGUGAUAAUGGACCAUUAGUUGUUUAUAGUUAAAGCAUAUUAACUGAAAUUGUAUUGCGUUAAACUGAAAAUAUAUUACCUUAUUGUGCAAUACUGUAUUCUCAUGGAUCUGACUGCCUGAAAGUGACCGGCAUAAGAAAUGUACGGAAUAAAGUUUCAGAUGUACUAGUCAUUUCGGGGGAAAAAUGCAGCUGUCUCUGCAAAACAUUUUAAGCAGUAAAUGCUUAAGAUGAGCAAGCAUACUAAGUUAGUCUUAUCCUUCACAGUACUACAUGAAUCCACUUGAACAGGAUCAUCAUGAAUCUGAUUUGGUACGCUGCAAUCAGGAUCUUAUUUAGUUUGAUUUAGCAGAUGAUCCACCUGUGAUGAUUAACUUCUGGUAUGCUGCAAUCAGGAUUAGCAGGUGUACUAAAUUAAGUCCAAUCAAGUGGACUAAACCUGCUUAAUCCACUAUUAGACCCAUCAAGUGGACUAAAUUUGGUAUGCUCCAAUUGACCCAGGCUGUCUCCCCUUUUUCUACAUGUGGCCAUCCCCCAAUUAGCACCCAAUUGUUGCCAGGCACAGAUUUAACCCCAUCCCUGCCAACCUUACAUUCCCACACACACUAUUUACAUCUGCAGAGCUUUCGCUCUGCCACAAAUCUAUAUUUAUUGUUCAAAUAAAUUUAAUCAACAUGAAUUCAAGGUUAUGUGAAAAGGGUUAGAUUCUCAAAGCUGUGUAAUACAAAUUGUAUUUUUAUGAAGUAAAAAACACUGAAUAAAAUUCAAAAAUAAAUAUUAAAAACAUUCAGACUACUUGCAAACCCCAAUGUCUGAGCUGUUUCUUUCUGGUUUGGAAAAUGUAUUGGGUGUGAUUUUCCUUUCUGAAAAGUAUGCGCUAAUCACAAUUUGUUGUACAUUUGGAGAAUAUAGGACAAAAUGCUUUCCAAGUUCAAACUACUCAAUCCAAUUAGGGACUGUAAUAUUUCCUUCGGUCUCUAGGGAUUCUGAAUAGUCACUGGUCUCCUCCAGCACACAGGGCAGCAAAGCUCAGCAGCACAGUACUAUUACCAGCUCCAUCACUAACUGCGUUGGGGCCAGCAGCUCUGAUUGUAUACAAAGGAACAGCAAUAACUUUUCUUGAUAAACCUUAUAGUGUGUAAGAACAUAUGUUUGACUAUUAAACAUUUUUACAUUGCUGUUUUUAUUUACUUUUAAUUGAUUCACUGAUACCUUACAUCCCUUCUACUCAUUCCCCCUAAAAUAAGAAUGUAAAGCUAAGAAAAGUUUCAGGCAGGAAAACUCUAAAUACUCCUGCAAAAAUGAUCAUUUGAUUCGUAUCAAAAGUCAAGCAGACAUUGGAUUCAUGAGAUAACUCCCACAUCCUUGUCAACCUACAAAUAGUGGCAGCUACUUAUUGUACAUUUAAGCCUACCGCUCUUUCCGGUCUGCUGUGAGUUUACCUCCUGCUCCCCAACCUAAAUCAGAUCUUCCACAUUACCAUAAGAACAUAAGAAAGUUUACAAACGAGAGGAGGCCAUUCGGCCCAUCUUGCUCGUUUGGUUGUUAGUAGCUUAUUGAUCCCAGAAUCUCAUCAAGCAGCUUCUUGAAGGAUCCCAGGGUGUCAGCUUCAACAACAUUACUGGGGAGGUAUUGGUGGUCAAACUGCCUCCCUGCCUAUCUCUCAGCGCUGGUUGGGAGAUGACAAUGAAGAUUUCAAAGCAGCACCCAAAAGGUAAGCAUCAAAACCAAGCAAGUCAAAAUGCAAGGCUCAAUGUACAGAGGUUUCAGACCAAUGGAAUCUACCACAAGUUACUUGUUUUCAUAUUCUUCCGCCUCAACUUUCCUUCACAGGUUUAUUUAUGAAUUCACUAUUGGUGGCACCUUAGGGACAAGUCCUACCACCAAAUAAAUGAUUGAUGUGAUGCACACCCAUUUGUUAUAUAGCCCUCAACUGUUUAGUUUUGAAAGAAACUAACAUUUAUCAAACAUUGAUUUUUAUUUUAAAACAUAUCGGUACAACACUAGGUUAAAGAAAUCUCUGUUUAAUCCAUGUUUUUUUUAUAGUCUUGCACUUACUUGAUCAUGUGGCAGAAGGGGGUCGGUAUGCUGACGAGAGAGUCAUUUGGUUGGGGGGUGGUGCCAUGCAAUGUUUAUUUUAUUUAAUCUCCAGCACAAUUGUGCUGUUUUUUUCUGAUUUUAGCUUGUCCUGGGUGGCUUCUUAUGGUGAGCAGUUUUUAAUAUUGUACUGCAGGUACCUAAAACAGGACUAAUUCCUUCUACUGUGUUCAUUAUGUACAUAUAUUUUUUCAUGCACAAAAUACACACUGUGAAUAAUUACGUAUAUUUGUUAUAUUAAUUUUCAUAUGGCCAUCCAUUUUUAAUAUAUAUUUCAGUAUAAAAGAGCCAAUUUUGUUGUAUUUAAAAUAUAUUUUAUAUGUUUUACCAUAUUUAAACAGACCAUUUAAAAUAGCUUACACAUAUAUUUUAAAUAUAUGGUUCUUCCAUUUGGGAUAUCAUUAACCUGACUAGCCUGCUGUAAAUGAUAUUGAUUAAACAUUUACCCACAGGGAUGUCAAGGGUGUUUAUUAUCCCUUAUACAUAGUUAUUUAUUUAAAUGUAACCUUUAUUUAACCAGGAAAGUCCCAUUGAGAUUAAAAUCUCUUCAAGGGAGAUGUAAAGCGGCACUUUACCCUGGUGAUUGUUUAUUUCUUUAGAUGUAAUUUGCACAUUUAUUAUUAACUUAGUUUAUGUGUUAUUGUAGUUAUAUGUUAAUUUCACUUAAUUGUAUUAUUCAAAUGUUAUUUAUCAUGUUCCUUUUGUUGUGUGCUUUGUUUGUUAAUAUAAAUUGGUUGUCUUUUGCACUGAUUGUCACUGCUAAAACACCCUUCAUCUAAUCAGUCAGUAAUUGAUUUCACAUGCUUUUAAUGAAUAUCAAUUGAUAUUAAUCUCCAAGUAGGUUUAAAAGGCUCACGAUACAGCUAGCGAGCAGACUGCUUUGUGUUGCGGAUCUGAUGCGGCUGUCGCUUUGUUUUUAAGGGCCGAUUGAUUUGAGUAUUGUAAGCUUGCACGAGAGACUUGACUCUCGUGCAAGCUUACAGCUUGACUCCCCUUGAUUGUCUGCACCGAUCUUUCUGAAGCUCGCUCAUAUCUGUGUACUGGGACUUGUAAAUAGACUCUAUAGUCAAUGCAUGGACUUUUGGGAAUGUGACAGAAGUUAAAUGCCUGUUUCUUGUUUUCUUUUGUUGAAAUUAAAUAUUUUAUUUGAUUCUCUUAUCAGAGUUUAGAGGGGGAGGGGAGAGCAUGUCUUAUCUCUUUGAGUGUGUUUUCUGUGUCUGUUUUAUUUGUAUUGUUUUUUUAGCUUUUUUAUAUUCUUUGCUCCCUUGGUGUGUUUGUGCCUUCCCCACCUCUGCUGAUCUUCUGUACCCUACGUUAAAAAUGGUUAACUUGAGCCUACUCUUUGUGUCCUGUCUCUGCAAGAACAGCAUGACGUUUUAACAUCUACUCUCAUGUAAUGGAAAUCAUACUCCAGUGCCAAAUAUAAAGAACCUGAGUGGGUCGGUAAAUUACCCCUGCAAUACAUUUUCACAGUCGUCACCCCUCAAGUCAAUCCUCACCCCUCCUCAAGUCAGUCGUCAACCCUCCUCAAGUCAAUCGUCAGGCAUCAGUCCUCCUCAAGUUUUGUUUUUUUUUUCUGGUAGAGUGAGGGGUUGGACGGAGUCGUCUGAAUCACCCAAUCAAACAAGAGCAAAAAAACUGUCAGUGCUUCCAUUGGAUGAAACAGAUGUUCCUCCAUCCUUUCUUCCUUCUCCACUUUGUGAAGCUCACUUCCCCACCUUAGAGGCCGACAACGUGAUGAAGGUAGGUCAUGGGGACCGCCGGCCAAAAACUUAAACUACAUUUAGUUUUCCAUUCUCCUUCUUAAAUCUAUUCAUUUGCACCCGUGCCAGUCUCCCCUUUCAGAGAGCAAAGCAAAACUUUAGACCCCUGGCCCUCUUUAUCUGUUUAUUUAUUUUAUUCUCUUUUCCAGCGCUUUUGUUCUCCCUGCACAGAUUGCGAGGCUCUCCAUGUGGCCUCGGAGCGUUAGCCGAGUCUGACCUCUCUCAGUUACAUGUCUCAGUAAGCCAGGGAGACCUUAGUUCGUCCUCUAUCCUUAGUUUCCCCUAGUCAAGGGGAAACCCCUAUUCUGUUGCUAAAGUCAGAAAUACUUUAUUCUAGUAGUCCCUUUACGCAGUCCCUUUUGCCUUGUGAAGUGACUACAAGCUACAAGCCCAUAGCCCCUUAAACUCGCCUGCCCGCGGGCCGACAUUCUCGAGAGAAUAUCUCUGGAACCAUAAUAGAUACCUACCUCAAGGCUUGCUGGAAAGUGCAGCUUUAGAGCUUUCCGAUGAUGUAUAACAUGUCCGUAUCAGACGUUCUAAAAUUAAACUACAGCAAAGCGCAACUCAGGCUUGAGUCAUGUGACCUGUCAGAUCCCUAAGUUUUGUUUCUUGCCUAUUACUCGGUGGCUUCAAGAGAUGGCAUUCUGAUUCCAACGUCAUUCGAAAGUGUAGGCUUUGGGCUUUCCAAAGACAUCACACAUGCCCAGAUAUGUAGUUACAGAAACUCACCAUCCAGUACAUUCAAUAGUGCAAUGCUGUAUUGCACAUCAAAUCGGUAGGUGUGUUCAAGUGCCUCUAACUAAAAAUAGGUGGAAACACAUUCAAUAUACCAUAAGAAAGCAGAGGCUUUGGGCUUUCCAAUGAUACCUCAUAUACCAGGAUCAGUUGUUCCUAGAAUAAACUACAAGGUCUAGAAUACAGUGACGCAUUCACUUGUCAGGAGACAGCAGUGUGCAUUGGUGACAGUGCGUCUUGUUCAUUUUGCUUAGCAUAAAUAACAUUAUAAUACAAUUUCCAAAAGUAAAGGAAAGGCACAAAGUAAGGAUUACAAAAAAAAUGAGACAUGGACAAGUGUUUGUUAGGCUAUUUCAGCAAUGAGAACUCUGCAGGCUAACUUGGCGAUGCAAUUGCUGGAGGACCAGAAGUACUUCAGAAAGUUAAGUACUAGGGCUCCCGAGUGGCGCAUCCAGUAAAGGCCCUCCACGUGGAGUGCAGGAUGCGCCCUAUAGCCUGGAGAUUGCAGGUUUGAUUCACUGUGUCACUGCUGACCAUGACCGGGGGUUCCUAGGGGGCGGCUCACAAUUGGCGGAGCGCCGCCCAGGUAGGGAGGGCUUAGGUUGGCAGGGGAAUCCACGGUUCACUGCACACCAUCAACCCCUGUGGCCGAUAGGGUGCCCACAGUUCUGCAGUGGAGCCAUCAGAGGUAAGUAAGUACUGAAGUCUCUUUACCAAUGUAAUGUGAACUACCUUGACUGGCACCGGCACCUGUUUGUCUCGCAUUUCAAAUUACAUCUAGCCUUCUUAGUGUCAAUAAGUACAGUACCCAGAAAACAGUGCAUCAUAGAGUGACCGAGAGGAGAGGAAAAGAAACUUACUGCCCAGGAGCUCCAUGACAUUUUAUUGGAAAGUUCAGAGGGAGAAAGUUCAGGUGAAGAAUUUCUUCCUUCGGAUGAAGAAUUGCCGAUCACAAAGGGGAUUGAUCCAGUUUUGGAUCGACACAGAGAUGCCACAGCACGCUGUCUCACAGCACAACAGGAGUAAUGAGAGAGGUAGAAGGCAGACAGGCAGAAAGCAGAGAAACGCCUCCCAGUCUCCUACAAACAACACCUGCAGCAGUGAUGUGGCCUGGAAAGAUGAAACUGAAACACACACCCUAGUCCCCCCUCACCCUAUGUUUUCACCUGUUAGAAGGCCAGGAAUUCAGAUUGAGCCAGCAGAUAACUACAGUGUGUCAGAUCUCUUCAAACUGUAAUUUUCCAAAAACACAGUGAAGGGGCUAUGUGAGCACACAAACAAGCAGGGAGAAAAGCAAAAACCUAAAGGAAAAAAAUAUCCAUGGAAGCCUGUUGGAUUGGGAGAGUUUUAUGCUUUUGUGGCAGUGGUCAUUUGCAUGGGGCUGGUUAACAUGCCAAAUCUACAAGACUAUUGGUCAACUCAGUCUGACAUGUAUGGAUCACCAUUCUCCAAACAAACCCUCAACUGAUGACAAUAUUGGCAUGACAAUAACUGAGGUCCUUUUUACUUGUGGGACACUUUUUUUACUAAAAUGUACAUAGUUCUGUUUAUUUUUUUAUAAAUUGUUGUUUUUGUUUGGAAACGAAAAUGAAAAUAUGUGUCAAGGUUCCCAAUGCCAUAACUUUGUUAUUGUUUGUCUGUUUCUUACUAAAUUUGGCACUUAUGUGCAGAAGCAAUAAAAGUUUCAUUUUGCACUAUAAUUUUGUCCUUGAGGUCUUUGUUCUCAGUGAGUAACAAAAUAAAUGAUAAUUUUUUGUUAUGCAUUUUUGUUUUGGGGGUAGUUUUAUAAUAUAUAUCAAUAACUGUGUGUUUGUCAGUGAAGAAAGAGAAUUGUGUGGCCUUUCAUUUGACGUGUGUUACAUGCUUGUAAUCCUUACAGAACAGGAGUUAGAAGGGAUAAAAUACAAAUAGGUUAAAUUAGAUUAGUUGUUUUUUCUCUGGUUUGGUAACUUUAUUAGGUGUAUUUUCCUGUCUUAUUCUAAUGUCAAUUUGGAGUAUAGAGCUUGGAGAAUCUAGACUGAAGUAUCACAAACUUUAUGGAAUAAAGUUUUAAGGAAUGUUUUUAAAUAGUGUUUAUAAACAAUGUUUUAAAAAAAUGAUAACUAAUUAACCCUCACUAAAACAGCUGUUUUGUGUGUCGGGCCCUGAAAAGCCUUAUUUGCAAAAAAAAUUCAGGGAUGGGAUAUAAAUGCCAAUAUUCUAAUAACUGGAAUCUAGAAGACAAGGACAGCCUUCUGAAGUGGAUGCAAUCAGCUGGAGAAAAGCUGACUAUCAGUUGAAAGUUGAAAAACUUUCUGAGUUUCAGUUAGUAAAUCCCUAUGCUUGUCUUGCUGCAGAUUUUAGAAAAUGGUUCUAAAAUGCACCACUUGCCACCAGCUUCUUCAAAUAUGUUAUUGGGAGUCUUGGCAAAAUUCUGUUUCAAAGCGUUUUUCAAAAAUGUCUGCUUUAGUGCACUGGGGUUUGAGAUCUGUCCUCUAAAUCACUGCAGAAAGAGUGAUGUAAAGAAAACGAAAACAAACAAGUGCUCUGGUUUUUCUGUUCCGUACCACAUCAUGGAUCGUUAGUGCUGUUUUACUUUUUUGACAAUGUGGGCAAUAAUCGUUACAAUAUCAGUGCACUGGAGCGGAUAUUUCAAAAAGAGCUUCGAAACAGACUUUAAAAUAAGUGUAAAAAGUUGUUAGGAUGUAAGUUCUUUACAGAAUUGUCAGGCGCUAUAGAUGGAAGGAUGGGUUUUAGCUUCAAGUUCAACAAAAACAAAAGCUGCCUACUGCACACCGCGUUUAGAUUGUGUCAAAGAGGUACUGUCGUGUUGUGCAGGGUCAUACAGUUUUCAUGAACAUGCCUUCGUUUCACAUUUUUUGGAGCAUCACAAGAGCACCAUCUUUUGGUAGAGGACAUUUUAUAUUUUAUUAUAUUUCCAUCAACAGAUACACACUGUACUGUUAGGAGCAGAUAAGUUCCCUGCCAAAAGAGAACUAAGAAGAAAAGCUGAAGUGAACUUGUGAACCUGCAGUUCUGAAGAAAAUAUUGCUGAACGCAGUGUUGUAAUAAUAUAUUUAUAAAUGUAUGCUUACAUGUGCAUUUUUUGCUUGCUUAUUUUGUUUUUGGAUUUACAUUUAUUGUCAGUUAAAGUAUUUGAAGGUAGUCUUAAUUAAGCAAUAGAACCCAAAGAGGGCUUUACUGUCUGGUUAGGCCCAAGUCAAAGACGGAUGGUAAAGCCCU